rnacentral:rRNA from 1 species
AUACGGAGGGUGCAAGCGUUACUCGGAAUCACUGGGCGUAAAGCGCGCGCAGGCGGCUUGAUAAGUUGGAUGUGAAAGCCUACGGCUCAACCGUAGAACUGCAUCCAAAACUGUCAGGCUAGAGUGUGGGAGAGGAAGAUGGAAUUAGUUGUGUAGGGGUAAAAUCCGUAGAGAUAACUAGGAAUACCAAAAGCGAAGGCAAUCUUCUGGAACGCUACUGACGCUGAGGCGCGAAGGCGUGGGGAGCAAACAGGAUUAGAAACCCCAGUAGUCC